rnacentral:rRNA from 1 species
UACGUAGGGGCAAGCGUUGUCCGGAAUCAUUGGGCGUAAAGCGCGCGUAGGCGGCCCGAUAAGUCCGCUGUAAAAGUCCAGGGCUCAACCCUGGAAAGCCGGUGGAUACUGUCGGGCUCGAGUCCGGAAGAGGCGAGUGGAAUUCCUGGUGUAGCGGUGGAAUGCGCAGAUAUCAGGAGGAACACCGAUGGCGAAGGCAGCUCGCUGGGACGGUGACUGACGCUGAGGCGCGAAAGCGUGGGGAGCGAACAGG